AUUUACUGGCAACUGGGUGUGUGCACGUGUACACACACUCUGUUGCUUGCAUCCAGCUUUACAAGAAAUCUUGAAAAAUAUUCCAGUCUGCUUUGCAGGAUUACAGUAAAAUAAAUGUGACACCCUUUGCUAUUAUGUUUGCUGCCAGUGAUUCAGGCGGGGGUGGCGAAGGAAGGGGAAAGCUUUUGGCAGAACAGCUCAAGGUCCCCCUACACUUGAACUUUGAAUAAGCAGUGACUGUAUCUUCAGGAGAACUGUGGGUGUUGGAGCAGGACAGUGAGAUAGGCUGAGAAUAAAAAUACCUCAGCAGGGGUUUUCCUUUUACUUUAUGGAAAAUGAUGCAAAACUAUUCAUGAGUUCCUUGUAAUGGCAGUGUAAAGGGGCAUGGGAUAUUUUUAUUAUAAUUAUUAAUGCAGACCAAAGAUUUGUUUGGUCAUCAAUCUUAGUCACGGUUAUCUUAAAAUGACCAAGCAGCUUUUCCGCCUUCGGCCACGCUGCUCACCCAGCACCCUGGCAGCCUCUUUUCCUGAGCAGAUUUGAGAGAUGAGUUUGCAGGAGAGGAUGUUUUAAGAACAAAGAGCAUUUCCUUGUGACUAAUCCCUUUCUGAUUUUUUUUUUUUUUUUUUUUUUUUGAUGACGUGAAGUUUUCUAGUGCCAAAAGCAUGGCUGAUACUGCCGCUAGCAGUUGCUCCAGGGACUUGCCCAUUCAUCUUUGACCUGGAGGAACAACUCAAGAAAUGAGAGAUGAUUUGAUGACUUCCCAAACCAGCAUAGCACUGUCACUAAUAACAGCAGAAACCAUAAUGGCUUUCAUUUCAAGUUUAGCCCCAGGAGCCAUGUGCUGGCAACAGCUAAUAUCUCCCCAUCUCUGUCAAGCAAUAAAGGAUCAAUACAGAGAAAUUCCUUCAUGUGCUUCAAGAAGUACAGCUGCAUUUUCCAGAGUUGAAAUAUCCCCCAGUGAGUCUGAGGGGGAUGCUACAUAGAAAAAGCUACACUUAAAGGAGAGGACUAUGGUUAAAGAGAGCUGAAAGCUGCUGUACACCACAGUAGCAUGGCAAAGCUGCUGUGCCUGUUAUAGCCCGAGGAAGAAUCAAAUGCAAGUUGGUGAAUUCACUCAGGCUGGCAUGACCUGGCAGUGCGCUUUAGGAGGAGAACUGGGAAGGAACCAGCUUCUUUGUCCAUGGAAACGUUGAGGGCCUUCUACAGAACAAGCAGCAAAGAGCUGUGGCACUGAGAGACAUGGUUAGUGAGCAUGGUAGUGAUGGAUUGAUGGUUGGACUAGACGGUCUUAGAAGUAUUUUGCAGCCUUAACUAUUGUAUGAUUCUAUGAUUCAAUGACUAUGAUUCUAUCAAGUGUUUGACACGUUCAUGGCAAAGAAUAGUGCCUUUUUUAAGAGAAAAUUCUUGAUUCAGACUGUGAUGAUGACUGUCUAGAAAGGUGACUUUCUAAGCUCUCACAGUCCCUCCAGUCUUUCGUGAUAGCUGCUUAUUUGCUUUGAGGAGAACAAAAUAUUCUUUCAGUGGAGUUUCCUUGUGUUUUGAAAUCAAGAGGUGCUUUUCUGAAUACUUUGCAAGACAGAAAACCUGAGCCUGUCAAGGCGACUGGCCAGGCAGGCUGCAGAAAAUCUGGAGGCAAG
ensembl:lncRNA